rnacentral:rRNA from 1 species
UACGGAGGGUGCAAGCGUUAUCCGGAUUCACUGGGUUUAAAGGGUGCGUAGGUGGGCAGUUAAGUCAGUGGUGAAAUCUCCGGGCUCAACCCGGAAACUGCCAUUGAUACUAUCUGUCUUGAAUAUCGUGGAGGUAAGCGGAAUAUGUCAUGUAGCGGUGAAAUGCUUAGAUAUGACAUAGAACACCAAUUGCGAAGGCAGCUUACUACCCGAAUAUUGACACUGAGGCACGAAAGCGUGGGGAUCAAUCCGG